rnacentral:rRNA from 1 species
CCCUUAGAUGUUCUGGGCCGCACGCGCGCUACACUGAUGCAUUCAACGAGUCUAAAACCUGCUCUGAUAGGGGUGCGUAAUCUUUUGAAUGUGCAUCGUGAUUGGGAUAGAUGAUUGCAAUUUUUCAUCUUCAACGAGGAAUGCCUAGUAAACGCAAGUCAUCAGCUUGCAUUGAUUACGUCCCUGCCCUUUGUACACACCGCCCGUCGCUCCUACCGAUUGAAUGAUCCGAUGAAUAUCAUGGAUUGAGGAUGCAAGUAGGUUCGCCUAUCUUCAUCUUCGAGAAGUGAAGUAAAUCUUAUCAUUUAGAGGAAGGAGAAGUCGUAACA